AAUAAUUGUGUUUACUCGCAAACGAAAAAAAAACCGACUUCAAUUACAUCGACAAGUAAUACAACGUAGAUCGACGAAAAAAUAGUCAAGCAACUACGCGUUAUCAAAGAUUACUCAAAAAGCAGUUAUCAAAUCUCGAUAAAAUUUAUAUGUGACCACAUUAUAAACAUCAGCUUUCGAUUAAAUUAAAAAUUAUCAAAAUCGGUAUACCCAGUAAAAAGUUAUUACGGAUUUUCGAGAGUUUCCCUCGAUUUCUCUGGGAUCCCAUCACCAGAUUUUGGUUUCCUUAUCACGGUACUAAACUAGGGAUAUCCCCUUUCCAACAAAAAAGAAUUAUCAAAAUCGGUACAUCCAGUAGAAAGUUAUGCGGUAUAAUACAACGUAGGUCGACGAAAAAAGCGUCAAGUAAAAACGCAUUUUUAGAUAUAACUCGAAAAGUAGUUGUUAGAUCUCAAAUAAAUUUAAAUGGGACCAAUUGGCACACACCACCUUUCGAUUAAAACAAAAUUUGUCGAAAUCGGUCUACCCGGUCAAAAGUUCUGAUGUAACAUACAUUAAAAAAAAAAAAAAUACAGUCGA
rnacentral:misc_RNA from 1 species